rnacentral:lncRNA from 1 species
AUGUUGAACCUUUCUUUUUUGAUGGCGAAGGCCCUUGGAAUUGGGUGUUAUUUUGAACUUAUCGAAAUAGCAUCCCGUCGCCGUUCGAUCGAGGUCGAACCUUUAUUUUUUGAUGGCGUAGACCCUUACCCUUGAAGGGUGUUUUUUUGAACUUAUCGAAAUAACAACCCAUCGUCGUUCUAUUAAGGUUGAACCAUUAUUUUUUAAUGGCAAAGGCCCUUGGCCUUGAAGGGUGUUAUUUCGAAAUUAUUGAAAUAACAGCCCGUCGUCGUUCGAUCAAGGUCGAACCUUUAUCUUUUGAUGACGAAGGCCCUUGUCCUUGAAGGGUGUUACUUCGAACUUAUCGAAAUAACAGCCUGUCGUCGUUUGAUCGAGGUCGAACCUUUCUUUCCUGAUGGCAAAGGCCCUUGGCCUUGAAGGGUGUUAUUUCGAACUUAUCAAAAUAACAGCCCAUCAUCGUUCGAUCAAGGUCGAACCUUUCUUUUUUGAUGGCAAAGGCCCUUGGCCUUGAAGGGUGUUCUUUCGAACUUAUCGAAAAAACAGCCCGUCGUCGUUUGAUUGAGGUCGAACCUUUUUUUAUGGCGAAGGCCCUUGACUUUGAAGGGUGUUAUUUUGAACUUAUCGAAAUAACAGCCCGUCGUCGUUUAAUCGAGGUUGAACCUUUCUUUUUUGAUGGCGAAGGCCAUUGGCCUUGAAGGGUGUUAUUUCGAACUUAUCGAAAUAACAGCCCGUUGUCGUUCGAUCAAGGUCGAACCUUUCUUUUUUU